rnacentral:rRNA from 1 species
UACGGGGGGGGCAAGCGUUGUUCGGAAUUACUGGGCGUAAAGGGCUCGUAGGCGGCCAACUAAGUCAGACGUGAAAUCCCCGGGCUCAACCCGGGAACUGCGUCCGAUACUGGCAGGCUUGAAUCCGGGAGAGGGAUGCGGAAUUCCAGGUGUAGCGGUGAAAUGCGUAGAUAUCAGGAGGAACACCAAUUGCGAAGGCAGCUCGCUGGGACGUUACUGACGCUGAGACGCGAAAGCGUGGGGAGCAAACAGG